CCUACGGGAGGCAGCAGUGGGGAAUAUUGCACAAUGGGGGGAACCCUGAUGCAGCGACGCCGCGUGAAGGAAGAAGUAUCUCGGUAUGUAAACUUCUAUCAGCAGGGAAGAAAAUGACGGUACCUGACUAAGAAGCCCCGGCUAACUACGUGCCAGCAGCCGCGGUAAUACGUAGGGGGCAAGCGUUAUCCGGAUUUACUGGGUGUAAAGGGAGCGUAGACGGAGGAAAGUCUGAUGUGAAAGGCUGGGGCUCAACCCCGGGACUGCAUUGGAAACUGCCCGUCUUGAGUGCCGGAGAGGUAAGCGGAAUUCCUAGUGUAGCGGUGAAAUGCGUAGAUAUUAGGAGGAACACCAGUGGCGAAGGCGGCUUACUGAACGGU
rnacentral:rRNA from 1 species